UACGUAGGGUGCGAGCGUUGUUCGGAAUUACUGGGCGUAAAGCGCACGUAGGCGGCUUUGUAAGUUAGAGGUGAAAGCCCGGGGCUCAACUCCGGAACUGCCUUUAAGACUGCAUCGCUUGAAUCCAGGAGAGGUGAGUGGAAUUCCGAGUGUAGAGGUGAAAUUCGUAGAUAUUCGGAAGAACACCAGUGGCGAAGGCGGCUCACUGGACUGGUAUUGACGCUGAGGUGCGAAAGCGUGGGGAGCAAACAGG
rnacentral:rRNA from 1 species